GGGUCCGGACACACUGAGGAUUGACAGGCAAAAGAUACAAGUUUUCUUUGUGAGAGCUUGCAUUGUAAAAUAUGCGAGUCCUUUCAUGAUUAUGUGAUAGGUGGUGCAUGGCCGUUCUUAGUUCGUGGAGUGAUCUGUCUGCUUAAUUGCGUUUCACAACGAUUUAAAAUGCUAUGUUUUCUGUGUUUGCUGUUCGGUUUUAGCUCUUACGGGAGUUUUUAACUUUGAACGCACACGGCGUAGCUUAAAACAAUCGGAAAGCAACGAACGUGACCGCAACCUCUUGUUGCCUUUAUUUUUAAAAGCGUGGAAAAUUUUAUAUUUUCUUACGCUUGAAAAAGGCUUUAAAACUAGAGGGACCGCUGUUCUAUUCUCUUAAACCAGAGGAAGAUUGCGGCAAUAACAGGUCUGUGAUGCCCUCAGAUGUUCCGGGCUGCACACGUGCUACAAUGGUUGUUGCAGUGAGCAUCUAUUUUCAAACGCUACCGUUGCGGAUUUUGUGAGAAGGGGGCUUGUUUUAAAGCUUUCGGGUGGAGAAGCAGGUUCUUUUUUUUCACAAUUUAUUCCGCGUUACGUGUCAGCUAAACCUGCUUCGAAAGCAAGUAGGU
rnacentral:rRNA from 1 species